AUGGGCCUCUUCGGCAGCAGCAGCGACAAGGGCACCCCUAGCGCCUCGUCCUCCCGUACUCCUCCACCCCCUCCUCCUCCGACGCUGGUGCAUUUCCGCCCAGGUCGCCGGCGCCUGCACAUCCCGGUGGACCAAGCGCGGUGGCAUUGGAAGUACAGGAAGCCGCUGCCCUACGCCGACGUCACGCUACCGCACCACUGGCACCUGGAUCCGCAGCGGAUCCCGGUGCCGGCGGUGUCGCCGAGCCAGCGGCCGCAAGACGAGGAGGUGCGCAGGCGCCGCACGCAGCUCACGCCGAAGCAGCGUCGGCUGCCUGAGUACACCGCCGACUCUCCCAACUGGGAGGCUUGGUUCGCCCUCGAACACGAGGAGCAACGGCGUGUAGGCAUCGACGCCGUCCCGCCGCCGUUCCCAUCGCCACCACCGUAG
rnacentral:rRNA from 1 species